rnacentral:sRNA from 1 species
AAGACACUUCAAUUUAUGGUGAUUUUCAACGAUUUUAUCAACCAGCUAUAAAGGCGUUGCAUACAUUAGGUGCAACAGAUGUG